UUCUGUGAUUGUCACCUCUUUAUAUUUUUUGGAUAUUCCCCAUUUUUUCAGUCUUUCUUCCAAAGCCACAGAGGUUGGAGGUGUAUGUGCCUGUGGCUUUGGAACAACGAUUCAUUUCAGGACUCAGGUUCCAAAUAUUGAGCCACCAACAACUAAAUCUUCCUUUACGAGUUUCUUGGUUGCCUCGGACAAAAGCGGCCUAGGCGAGGGCCAGGUCCCUUCGGGGACCCAGGAAUGUGGGAGACUCUCUUCUUGUUCACGUUCACGCGUCAUCAAGUUGAGGAUGGUAUCCCCACACCUCUCUAGUUUAAAACCUCUUGUAAAAAUCAUUACCUAAAGAAAAAACAACUUGUACCCAAAUUUAAAAAAAUCCAGUCGAGGAGUUUUUUCUGUGGCAUGAUUUGAUCUGACACAGCCGGACGGUGUGAACUGUAGUUUUGGUUGUCUGGUAUCACAAUUUUUGGGCCGCUAAGACUCAUUUCACUGGAUAGUCCUGGAAUUAAUUUGUUUUUUUAUUAUUAUUUAUU